GAUGAAGAACGUAGCGAAAUGCGAUAAGUAAUGUGAAUUGCAGAAUUCAGUGAAUCAUCGAAUCUUUGAACGCACAUUGCGCCCGCCAGUAUUCUGGCGGGCAUGCCUGUCUGAGCGUCAUUUCAACCCUCAUGCCCCUAGGGCGUGGUGUUGGGGAUCGGCCAAAGCCCGCGAGGGACGGCCGGCCCCUAAAUCUAGUGGCGGACCCGUCGUGGCCUCCUCUGCGAAGUAGUGAUAUUCCGCAUCGGAGAGCGAUGAGCCCCUGCCGUUAAACCCCCAACUUCCCAAGGUUGACCUCAGAUCAGGUAGGAAUACCCGCUGAACUUAAGCAUAUCAAUAAGCGGAGGA
rnacentral:misc_RNA from 1 species